GAUGAACGCUAGCGGCAGGCUUAACACAUGCAAGUCGAGGGGCAGCAUAAUGAAGUAGCAAUACUGAUUUGAUGGCGACCGGCGCACGGGUGCGUAACGCGUAUGCAACCUACCUAUAACAGGGGGAUAACACUGAGAAAUUGGUACUAAUACCCCGUAACAUCAUUUGAGGCAUCUCAGAUGGUUGAAAGUUCCGGCGGUUAUAGAUGGGCAUGCGUUGUAUUAGCUAGUUGGUGGGGUAACGGCUCACCAAGGCGACGAUACAUAGGGGGACUGAGAGGUUAACCCCCCACAUUGGUACUGAGACACGGACCAAACUCCUACGGGAGGCAGCAGUGAGGAAUAUUGGUCAAUGGACGCAAGUCUGAACCAGCCAUGCCGCGUGCAGGAUGACGGCUCUAUGAGUUGUAAACUGCUUUUGUAUGAGGGUAAAAUUGGGUACGUGUACCCAACUGAAAGUAUCAUACGAAUAAGGAUCGGCUAACUCCGUGCCAGCCGCCGCAGUAACAC
rnacentral:rRNA from 1 species